AGGCCUUCCUAGUUGCCGCAGCUGCUCUGUCUGCAGACACCACCUUUUCUCCUAGGAGACCGGGACUCCAACCUACUUAGACAUGAUUCCCCAUGAAGCUCUAGGUGGGAAACCUGGAUGAAUGAAAGAAAGAAGGCAUUGGAUCUUGCUUUUAAUAGGGCAAGAAAUGUGGAAAGAGCAUGGGCUUGGCUGAAGUCGAGGCGGGGACUGCCUUUCCCCACAUCUGAUGGUGGUUGAAUGUGUCUGCGUUUGUUGUGUGAAUCUCUGAAAGUUCAAUGGAAGUAAUGUAUCAGUUUAAUGCAGUACAGAGCAUAAUAAGCAUACCUUUGAAAAGGAAAUUACAGUUCAGUUUUUUUUUAACUUUUAUUUAGAAGCAGAAGUCACCGUAGAGGUUGGAACUGAGGAUCAGCAAGCAUCACCAGGUGAGUUCUUCAAAACAUUUUCACAUAAUCAGUUAUUUUUUCCCCAAAUGUUUGUGUUGCUUUGUUGCUGUUAUUAAUGUAAACACCUUUUUAGUUCUAAUUAGCAGCAAAGGAACAAAAAAUGGUCUUGAACAUUGUUUCCUGCAGGGGGUUGGACUGGCUGGCCCGUGAGGUCUCUUCCAACUCUAUGAUUCUAUGAAUGUGGUGUUUAUUGCUAAGUAAAUGGAAUCUGGAGACACCAUCACUUGUAGCACAAAAUCCAUCUCCUGGGGGGGUUCUUCUCCCUGGCUCAACAUCUGCUCUGAUGUAGAUGGAAGUGGACGAUUCUCCAGCAGCAGCAGCAAAUGGCAAGUGCUGUUGAUGUUCAGCGAUAGUUGUACAUUUGUAUAUUUCUGUAUUACUUACCUGUCGUUUUAAGAUGAGUGUUUUAGUGCUCCACGCAAAACCUCAAGAUCAAGGAUUGCGGUGGUCUGUGGCUGAUGGGCUAUGAUAACAACUUUAAAAACAAACGGUAAUGGCAUGUUCUUUACUGUGAUACCUGGAAAACGUUCCUCAGACAUAGGUGCCGUUAUAUGAGAUGUUGCUUGAAGCGGCAUCGUCAACAACUGGAGAAGUGAACUACACAUCUUGGGAGUCCACGCAUCUGCCGAGUCAACUGCCAAACUUUUGUGAUUUCCAUGGUUUUAAGUCAGGACACCAACCUCAAUGGAUCAUCAACGACAAGCUCUAGAUAAUUACUUCGUUGCGGUUUAGUGUGUUUAGAUGCUGACAAUAAAUAACUGUUGAAAGAAAGUUCUGACCAUGGCUUAUUUUCGUGUUCCCAGAUCUUCAGUUAUCCUGCCUCUAGCUCUGGGAAAAAUAAAUUUGACAUUGCUUUAUGUUAUUUGUACCUAUGCAGAUAAUGGCUGGCUUCCCAUCCAUGCUAUCCCCUCCACCAACCUGGUUGAUCCAUUAUUCUAUUUUAUUUUAAUCUGAUUCUAGUUGUUAACUGAGUUUUGAUGGUUUAUUGCAUUGUUUGCUUAAGGUAACUGUUGGUAUAAUUGUCGAUUUUACUGUAUUUUUAUCGUAACAUAUUUUAACUGUUUUACCUGUUUGUACUUUUGGGCUUUUGUCCCGUGUUAGCCGCCCCGAGUCCCUGGCGGGAUAGAAAAAUAAAGUUACUUACUGUAA